rnacentral:rRNA from 1 species
AGAGUUUGAUCCUGGCUCAGAGCGAACGCUAGCGGCGGGCUUAACACAUGCAAGUCGCACGCGCCUUCGGGCGAGUGGCGAACGGGUGAGUAACACGUGGAUCACCUACCCUCAGGAGGGGGAUAACCAGGGGAAACCCUGGCUAAUACCCCGUACGGCCUACGGGUCAGAGCCUUCGGGCGCCUGGGGAUGGGUCCGCGGCCCAUUAUUUAAUCCUGGUUGGUGGGGUAACGGCCUACCAAGGGUACGAUGGGUAGCUGGUCUGAGAGGACGAUCAGCCACACUGGGACUGAGACACGGCCCAGACUCCUACGGGAGGCAGCAGUGGGGAAUCUUGCGCAAUGGGCGAAAGCCUGACGCAGCCACGCCGCGUGAGUGAUGAAGGCCCUAGGGUUGUAAAGCUCUGUCGGGAGGGAAGAAGAUCUGACGGUACCUCCCAAGAAAGCACCGGCUAACCCCGUGCCAGCAGCCGCGGUAAUACGGAGGGUGCAAGCGUUGCUCGGAAUCACUGGGCGUAAAGCGGACGCAGGCGGCCUGCCAGGUCGGGUGUGAAAGCCCGGGGCUCAACCCCGGAAAUGCACUCGAAACCGGCAGUCUUGAAUACGGGAGAGGGAAGCGGAAUUCCUGGUGUAGAGGUGAAAUUCGUAGAUAUCAGGAGGAACACCGGUGGCGAAAGCGGCUUCCUGGCCCGAUAUUGACGCUG